rnacentral:rRNA from 1 species
AGAUUGAACGCUGGCGGCAUGCUUUUCACAUGCAAGUCGAACGGCAGCACGGGGGCAACCCUGGUGGCGAGUGGCGAACGGGUGAGUAAUACAUAGGAACGUAUCCUGAAAUGGGGGAUAGCUCGGCGAAAGCCGGAUUAAUACCGCAUACGAUCCACGGAUGAAAGCAGGGGAUUCGCAAGAACCUUGCGUUUCUGGAGCGGCCUAUGUCUGAUUAGCUAGUUGGCGGGUAAUAGCCCACCAAGGCGACGAUCAGUAGCUGGUCUGAGAGGAUGAUCAGCCACACUGGGACUGAGACACGGCCCAGACUCCGUACGGGAGGCAGCAGUGGGGAAUUUGGACAAGUGGGGCAACCCGAUCCAGCCAUGCCGCGU